rnacentral:rRNA from 1 species
AUACGUAGGGGGCAAGCGUUAUCCGGAAUUAUUGGGCGUAAAGAGUGCGUAGGUGGUUUUGUAAGUGCGGGGUGAAAGGCAAUGGCUCAACUAUUGUAAGCCCUGCGAACUGUGAGACUUGAGUGCAGGAGAGGAAAGUGGAAUUCCUAGUGUAGCGGUGAAAUGCGUAGAUAUUAGGAGGAACACCAGUGGCGAAGGCGACUUUCUGGACUGUAACUGACACUGAGGCACGAAAGCGUGGGGAGU